GGGGUUUACAGGUCCUCUGAAGGACACGUCUUACAUCUGCCUGGCCAGUGGGCCAGAGGAGGAGAGAGAAUCUCAUGUGUUCUACGUCUUCAGCAUUGUGGUCCCUGAAGUGAUGGAGGUGGAGAUUACAGCCUCACGUGUUGUGUUGCGUCAGGGUGAAGCGUUGACAGUCAACUGCACUGUGCAAGCUGCUGAGAUGGUCUACUUCAACUGGGACAUCCCCCGCAAACAGGAAUUUGAGCCGCUGACAGAAUUCCUGCCCAGUCAAAUUCGAUCCAUCAUCACCAUUCCCAUGGCAACGCUGGCAGACUCCGGUGUGUAUGUGUGUGAAGUCCAGG